ensembl:antisense Hoxb3os homeobox B3 and homeobox B2, opposite strand
AGUUGCUUCUCCUGCGCUCCAAGUCGCCCGGCCCAGCGCCAUUUUGAGCAUCGUUCCUAUUUCCCGCGCUCUCUGCCGCUCGCCGUGCUACUUCUGUGAGCCAAAAGCCUCUUGCCACGCCCGGGCCUCCCUUCUUCCCUACAAAAUUCCUAAGCCCCAUUCUAGUCCUCAAGGACCUGGAGCCCCAAGGCAGCAUCGGGCGCACAGCGCAGGCCUCGGCCUAAGCUUGCAGACUCAAAGCCCGCAGGCUAGCAAACCCAAGGAUUUCUCCUUCAACUCUUUUAACCCUCUGCGCAGCCUCCAAGGCUCAAAGCUGGCCUCUGAGACAUUUUCUUGUACCCGCUUCUGCACCCCCCCCCCCCAGAACGCUGUUUUUCCACCCACCCCACAUUUAUUUCCAAGCAGGGACCCAGGGAACAUCUUAGCAGGACUGGAAACGGUCUGUUUGCAGAUGAACCAAGCUUCCAUAAACUCUUCCUGGUGUCUUGGACAAAGAAAUAGUCACCAAGCAGGGCCCCUUUUGUACCACCCGGACUUUGUCAGCCUGGGAGAUGGGACCAUGCCUUCCCUUGGGUCGCUUGAGCCAGAGCUAAACCAACUUCAAGCGGAGAGUGGGAAAGCAAAGACUGGCCGUAGGGACUUGGCAAAAAGAGCUAGAUCCCAACACAAACACUCGUUUUCAUAUUAUAAAGACAUUUAUUUACGCUAUGAAAAUAAUGUACAAUAAAUACUUUCCCCCUUUCCUAUUAUUAAACAAUUUUAAUAAAUAAUCUACAAUCUAAAACUUAAAAAAGAGGAAAAUAGGUCCCUCUAGUUCUUUGUAAGAAAACCCUCUCCCACUAGAGUUUAAUUAUUCCUGAGAUUUCGUUGGAAGGAGUUUUACCAAGUGGAAUUUUUUGUGUGUGGUUUUAAAAAGCGAAAAGGAGUGAAUGAAACGCUAAUUCGUUACUAUCUGGAUUUUAACAAAACGGCAUAAAUGUAUCCACGAGUGGAGAAGGCCCGAUUCCCCCCGCCCCCAACAGCCAAGGAGGACCAGACGGAAAGGACCAAAGAUGGAAAACAGUUAGGGAAACUGCAAGUCGAUGGCACAGAGCGUGCUGGUGAAGAAGUCCAGCUCUUCCUCGGAAAAGGGCACGGGGCUAUCGAGAGAACCCUGCAGGCUGGGUGAAAGGCCUCCGGACAUCUGGAGACAGGAGUCUGCAGCGAAGAAAUUGAGGUCCGGUAGAAAAGGCGAAUCCUGCCGCUCGGGGCAGGCGUCUUCGGGUAGGGGCUCGCUCUGCCGGCCUCCGGCUCUGAGCAUUGUGCAGCCGGGGCUCGAUGCGCCCACACUCUCCAGGGUGGUGGCAGGCAGCGCUGACGGCGGUGCGCCCCGGGGUCCCUGCGCGGCCUCGGCGGGGUGGAAGCAGGCUUCCCGCAGCCGGUGAGUCGCGACGUCGCCCGGGCUGACCGUGGGUUCCUCGGCUGGCUCUCCCGCGUCGUCCUGGGCGCUCGGCCCGCCUGGUUCUCCCUCGGGCGGCUCUCGAUGCUGCGUCUGCCGCUUGUGUUUCAUGCGUCGGUUCUGGAACCAGACUUUGACCUGCCUUUCGGUGAGGUCCAGCAAGGCAGCGAUCUCGACGCGACGCGGCCGGCACAGACCCAAUGAUGGUUGGGCUUCGGGUCACGUGACAGCCUCAUUGUAGCUCCGGAAGAGAACGUGAAGUUUAGGUUGCCUGGAAGAAGCAGUAAUAAGCUAGACUGAAAGGGAGAACAAAAAAAAUCAAGAUUUUGGGGAAAUUACCCACAGAGAUGCAAGGGAAAAAGAAAAAGGAAAAGGAAAAACUGUGCAUCUGCUGGAAUCUCUUUUCUACUGAGAUGGGGGAAAUUAUCCAGGAUGAGAAAGACUCACAAAACAAUUUGAACACUAUUCUUCUCUGGAUUCAAAGGGGAGGCUGUUUACUGAGGUUCCC